rnacentral:sRNA from 1 species
UGCUUUGCCCGAAGUGAUUGGUCUCUCAUUAUCUCCUUUUGUAGCUGGAGUUACCGCUCUAGGCAUUAACUCAACAGCCUAUAUUUCAGAAAUUGUGCGUGGCGGA